UUGGACCUGAUAUCAGGUAAGAUUACCC
rnacentral:rRNA from 1 species